UACGUAGGGGGCAAGCGUUGUCCGGAUUUAUUGGGCGUAAAGAGCGUGUAGGCGGUCAGGUAGGUCCGUUGUGAAAACUCGAGGCUCAACCUCGAGACGCCGAUGGAAACCAUCUGACUAGAGUCCGGAAGAGGAGAGUGGAAUUCCUGGUGUAGCGGUGAAAUGCGCAGAUAUCAGGAAGAACACCUCGUGGCUAAGGCGGCUCUCUAGUACGGUACUGACGCUGAGACGCGAAAGCGUGGGGAGCGAACAGG
rnacentral:rRNA from 1 species